ACCUACGGGGGGCAGCAGUGGGGAAUAUUGCACAAUGGGGGGAACCCUGAUGCAGCGACGCCGCGUGAGUGAAGAAGUAUUUCGGUAUGUAAAGCUCUAUCAGCAGGGAAGAAGAUGACGGUACCUGACUAAGAAGCCCCGGCUAACUACGUGCCAGCAGCCGCGGUAAUACGUAGGGGGCAAGCGUUAUCCGGAUUUACUGGGUGUAAAGGGAGCGUAGACGGCGAAGAAAGUCUGAAGUGAAAGCCCGCGGCUCAACCGCGGAAUGGCUUUGGAAACUCUUUUGCUGGAGUACCGGAGAGGUA
rnacentral:rRNA from 1 species